AUGAUUUUAACCAUUAUUUCUGCAAAGUUUACAAAAAAGACCCUCGAUUUUUCUGCCUCCAAACCUCUAAAAAUGGUGAAAAUUCCCCUCCCACCCCACCAAAUUUUCCCUCCUAGCACCAAAUUUUCCCUCCCACCCCACCAAAAUUUCCCACCACUUCUCUCCCACUACCAUGCGGGACCCACCACCCCUCUCCCACUAAACACGCGGGAUCCCCAUUCCCCGCAUCAUUUUACUUUAUCCCUCUUGUAUCUGAUUGUUGUUUAUUCUAUUUUGCAAGCACCACCUCAAGAUCAUCCAUGGCAAGGAUGA
rnacentral:rRNA from 1 species